UAUAUAUAUAUAUUCGUUCAAAGCCCUAAAAGCAACCAUUUUUAUCUCUCGUCCUCUCCCUCUCAACAUCACAGCCGACACUCUCUGUCUUCCCUUUCCCCUUCCAUUUUGGUUUCGAUCAUUACCUCAAGCGUCAAUCAACUUGUCAUCAACAGUUUUACAGUUGUGUCGUCAUCUGAAUCGCCUCAUUGUGACUUAGCUCACCGUUUGGAAAUUUUAUCCCAUCAUUCUCCUUUCUAAGGUCUAUCUUGACGCAUCUAUGUACAGGUUUUUUCUGCUUUUGGUUUUGUUCACAAGAUAGCCAAUUUUGAGAAGGCUGCUGGUUUCCAGGUGACAAAUCAAGAAUUGAGUUUUGUUAGUUCUGAAGUUGCAUCGAUAUUGUCCUUUCAUUCUCGCAUUUGCAUAUCUUGGCAGGCAUUAAUUCAGUUCACAUCGGAGCAGAUACGCAUAUAUGUGAUGUGGAUGGAAGGAAUUAUGUUUUUAGUAGGGCCUCUGGGGAAUUUUGUUAUGUUAUGCACAUCGGUCAGUCCAAAUACCCACCACCCAGCAACUUUGCUCAUCUAUAAAUUGCAUGGGUAUGUUUUCUCAUCUUUUCUCUUCACUACAUUUACACUUUUUACAUUUCUAAUUAUUUUUUUUUUAUAACCUUGAUUAUUUCUUUUAAUACUUCAGGAAAUGUAGUGUGCAAAUCUUGAUUUUGGCUAUAAACACGUUUUGUCCCAUAAAGUAAUUAAAUACUUCAUAAAACUUAGUGAGCAAAUCUUGAUUCUGACUAUAAAUGUGUUUUGCCCUAUGAAGUAAUUAAAAGAAACGAAUAAAAAAGGAACAAGUAAUAUUUAAAAAAAAGAAAACAAUCAGAGACGUAGGGAGUGAAAAUGUAGUGAUUAUUUUCUUCUUCAAGUGCAAAUAUAACGAAAAGGAAUUAUGAGAAAAUAUAGCCAAAAUGAAUGCAUUUUAUAGAUGAGCAAUAUCUUUCGUAUUUAUUUUUAGAAUUGAGUAUUUGAGUUCAUAAUAUUUAAAUAUAUAAUUUGAAUCAUUGAUUAAUAAUACAUCAACCACUACUUUUAUUUUAUUCUUUUACAUAAUUUAGAACUCAAACGUAUAAAGAUA